GAAAGUAUAGCUCAAUGGCAGAGCAUGCACGUGCUCAGCUUACACGAGGUCCUGGGUUCAAUCCCCAGUACUUCCA
rnacentral:tRNA from 1 species